AUACGGAGGGUGCAAGCGUUAUUCGGAAUCACUGGGCGUAAAGGGUGCGUAGGCGGUUUGAUAAGUCUGAUGUGAAAUCCUAUGGCUCAACCAUAGAACUGCAUUGGAAACUGUCAGACUAGAAUACUGAAGGGGCAGAUGGAAUUAGUGGUGUAGGAGUAAAAUCCGUAGAUAUCACUAGGAAUACCGAAAGCGAAAGCGAUCUGCUGGGAAGUUAUUGACGCUGAGGCACGAAAGCGUGGGGAGCAAACAGGAUUAGAUACCCUAGUAGUCC
rnacentral:rRNA from 1 species